CAUUUUUAGGAUUUGGAUCCUUAGUGAAAGAAAUGUUGUCAAUACGGAAGAAAAUUUUAAAGCUCUUUUUCCGCUGCGUUAUUUUUAAGGUUAAACGUGUUAGGGUGUAACAAGUUGGUAUCAGAGCCCUGGUUUGAGAGAAUCAAGUACAAGAGGAUAGGUACUUGAACUCGAACCUGUGUGCUCUUAUGACAAGAAACCCGUACAAUCCGAGACUCGACCAAGAUCUAAAGGUAGAAGCAAAGGUAAGUAUGUGCUUAAGUAAGCAUGGUUGCUUGGAAAGAAUGAUUUGUGGAUGCGGUCUAGCACCGACGCCAAGGUAUGUAAUUUGACAUAUUGACCCAAGUACAUAUGUUUAAUAUAUGUAAGUACAUGUGAUGGUAAAACCUAACAAUGAAAGGAAAAUUUUAAGUGAAAAAUAAUGUUAAGAAUGGUAAUGAAGUUUUGGAAAUGUUACACGUGCCGAAACCUAAUUCUUCGGACAUAAGGUGACAAUUACACGAAGACACGCAACUAGUGUGUGGAUUGUGUACCUGGCCAGUACACAAGAAACGCAUGACUUUCGUGAGCCCGUGAUAAUUGUUACAGGUGUGUCCGUUAGAAUUAAGUAGUAGGUGGACGUGAGGGUGA
rnacentral:lncRNA from 1 species